ACUUGUGGUCCUUGCCCCUGCCCUAACUAGUAGUACACCCGAGCUCUGUUUCCGCCGCCGUCGCAACACAGGCCGCCGGUCGCCAUCACCUCCGUUCGAGUACAAAUCCCAGGCUGCUGACUGGAGCCUUGCCUGAGUGCUACCCUGCAGUCCCGAAGACCACCCUGCUCUAGAGCCGCUACUCGCGAUCGAUUGGUACUAAGUAGGCGACAUGCAUGGGGACCCGGGCGUAGCACAUCUACAUCAUUUAUCACACCACACACUUUCAUAUAAGACUUAGUGUACACUUAUAUUUUCUAUCUUAUAGUCAUAAAUUGUUCCUCCGUUAAUAUUCAUUUUAUAACAUGAACCUUCGGUCGUUUGGAGACUCUCAUGUUGGAUCUCCGUGAGUUGACUUCAUGGUUAAAUUCUAUCAUAUUGUUAGUGUCUGCAUGUCGUGGUUGUUCUCCAGACCAAAGGAGAUGCUGCCGAAAUAUAGAAUUUUCCUUUAGUUCGGUCGAUUUCAGAUAGGUGUGGUAGCA